UGAAGAUCAAUACUUUUUCUUUUGUUUGAUUUUUACAUAUGUAACACAAUACUUAAGAACAAAACUUUUGAGAUGAAAAACAUGUGAGGAGAAUUCGCCCAUUGGUGACCCUCCUAUAGAAGAAAUAAAUAAUGACUUCACGUUUUCAAUUUUCUUCGUCUCUAUGCAGGGCAUCACGUGGCCAUCGGAGUUUCCGUCGAUCGGAGGAUUGAUGGUUUUGCUACUUCUGGAACAAAGGGAAUAUUAACGUUUCAUUGGAAUCUUUUGCCGAGUUGGGAGUUGGAAUGCUUGGGCCGAGACUAUAGUUAUUGAACACUAUGAAAAAGGGAAAUCAAAAUGUUUUACGUUGGGUAUAAAAAACAAAAGAACAGUUAUCUACUCGACAGCCAAUCGGCAAUAAAGUCAACAACCCCAUUGGUAGUAAAGUCCAGAGCCGUUUGGGAAAAUAACAAAAUUACCCUUGCUUGGGUACCAAGUAAUACAUGAUAGAAGAGCAACGAAGGUACCGAUAAAGUGGCCAAGGAAAGUUUGGUGAGAACACCUAUCGACCCUGCACCUGCACCAUACCAAAUGAUCAAAAACGUAGAUCCAUCAGACAAUU